rnacentral:lncRNA from 1 species
AUGUACAGUGCCUUGCGAAAGUAUUUGGCCCCCUUGAACUUUGCGACCUUUUGCCACAUUUCAGGCUUCAAACAUAAAGAUAUAAAACUGUAUUUUUUUGUGAAGAAUCAACAACAAGUGGGACACAAUCAUGAAGUGGAACGACAUUUAUUGGAUAUUUCAAACUUUUUUAACAAAUCAAAAACUGAAAAAUUGGGCGUGCAAAAUUAUCCUGUGUUCUGCCUUUCACCCAGGACAACGGAAUGGAUCCCAGCCGGCGACCCAAAAAAACGACUUCAUAAAAGGGGGAAACGAAGCGUUCUUCUGGUCAGACUCCGGAGACGGGCACAUCGUGCACCACUCCCUAGCAUUCUUCUCGCCAAUGUCCAGUCUCUUGACAACAAGGUUGAUGAAAUCCGAGCAAGGGUAGCAUUCCAGAGGGACAUCAGAGACUGUAACGUUCUUUGCUUCACGGAAACAUGGCUCACUGGAGAGACGCUAUCGGAGUCGGUGCAGCCAGCUGGUUUCUCCACGCAUUGCGCCGACAGAAACAAACAUCUUUCUGGUAAGAAGAGGGGCGGGGGCGUAUGCUUCAUGGUUAACGAGACGUGGUGUGGCCACAACGACAUACAGGAACUCAAGUCCUUCUGUUCACCUGAUUUAGAAUUCCUCACAAUCAAAUGUCGACCGCAUUAUCUACCAAGGGAAUUCUCUUCGAUUAUAAUCACAGCCGUAUAUAUUCCCCCCCAAGCAAACACAUCGCUGGCUCUGAACGAACUCUAUUUGACUCUUUGCAAACUGGAAUCCGUAUAUCCGGAGGCUGCAUUCAUUGCAGCUGGGGAUUUUAACAAGGCUAAUCUGAAAACAAGACUCCCUAAAUUGUCGAUUAUCGAGCAUAUCGAUUGCGCAACCAGGGCUGGAAAAACAUUGGAUCAUUGCUAUUCUAACUUCCGCGACGCAUAUAAGGCCCUGCCCCGCUCUCCUUUCGGAAAAGCUGACCAUGACUCCAUUUUGUUGAUCCCUGCCUACAGACAGAAACUAAAACAAGAAGCUCCCGCGCUGAGGUCUGUUCAACGCUGGUCCGACCAAUCUGAUUCCACACUCCAAGACUGCUUCCAUCACGUGGACUGGGAUAUGUUUCGUAUUGCGUAA